UGCUUGGGAAUCUGCCUAAUAGUGGGGGAAACUCGGGAAACUCGGGCUAAUACCGCAUAAUCUCUUCGGAGGAAAGGGGGCCGUCUACAUGUAAGCUCUCGCUAAUAGAUGAGCCCAAGUCAGAUUAGCUUGUUGGUGAGGUAAAAGCUCACCAAGGCUACGAUCUGUAGCUGGUCUGAGAGGACGAUCAGCCACACUGGGACUGAGACACGGCCCAGACUCCUACGGGAGGCAGCAGUGGGGAAUAUUGCACAAUGGGCGCAAGCCUGAUGCAGCAAUGCCGCGUGUGUGAAGAAGGCU
rnacentral:rRNA from 1 species